rnacentral:rRNA from 1 species
UACGAAGGGGGCUAGCGUUGCUCGGAAUCACUGGGCGUAAAGGGUGCGUAGGCGGGUCUUUAAGUUCAGAGGUGAAAUCCUGGAGCUCAACUCCAGAACUGCCUUUGAUACUGAGGAUCUUGAGUUCGGGAGAGGUGAGUGGAACUGCGAGUGUAGAGGUGAAAUUCGUAGAUAUUCGCAAGAACACCAGUGGCGAAGGCGGCUCACUGGCCCGAUACUGACGCUGAGGCACGAAAGCGUGGGGAGCAAACAGG